CAGUAAUGCAGUAAAUAGUGCAGUAAAUAGUGCCUCGUUUGCCGGAAAAGAUGAAAAGAAGAAGAAGUUUAGAAUCAUUGUUUAGAGUCAGUGAAUAACUUUCCAGCUUCACCGCAGUAUGCGAAACUGAUGCGAACAUGUUGUGGACGUCACUUGUGUUUGCAGGCCUCGUCGCUGUGUUCUCGGGCCCAGGCUCCUGUUGUGAUACACAGGAGUAUCGAACCCAGGCUGCAGAGUGCUGCCCAAUGUGCCACGAAGGCACCUUUGUUCAGAGUGACUGCACACCGUUGUCAGGCACACGCUGCAGACCCUGUGACAAUGGGACUUAUAUGGAUCAACCCAAUGGUCUCAAGAAGUGUUUUUCCUGCUCUUCCUGUGUUGCAGAUAAUGGUCUCUUUGUCUGGCAGAAGUGUACAAACAAAACUGACACAGUUUGUGAUGUGUUAAAUGGAUUCUUCUGCAAAAGUCUGGCUGAAGUUACAGGAUGCAGUAUGGCAGAGAAACACACACGCUGUGCUGCUGGUCAGAGAAUAAAAGAACCUGGAACCGACAGAACUGAUACAGUGUGUGAAGACUGUCUGAUGGGCUUUUUUUCACAUGAUGGUGUGAAGUGCACACCUUGGACAAUAUGCAGCCAGGAGAGAGUUUGCUGGUGAAGCCCAUCACCAAGUGUGAGAGCAGCACGCAGACUGACCUACACCCAGUGGAGACAAACAUAGUCAAGUCAUAUGAGUGGAAUGAGUGGGAACUGCGGAGAAAAGCUAUCAGACUGGCUAAUCUUCGGACCAAAGUUACGCACUCAGCACAGACUGAUCUGAGCCACAUGAGGCGGGAAAACAUCACUCAGACCUGGCUGCCCAAGGACGCCGCCUGUCAAAGCAAGAGAGACGGUGAGAGCAACAUGCCCAGGCCUCAGGUCUACCUGGCAGGUCUGAGGGGACAAAGAGACGGACACAUGGUCAAAACUAACCUGACCAGAUCUGUGGAUGAAUAAUCAAGACACCGGCCUUCACUCACUGACUCUGUGGCAGAAACCCUCAUUCAUUCACCUCCUGCCUGGAUUACUGAAAUGGAGAAUGACUGGAUUUACUGGAUGAUAAUAGAUUAUGUCAAUGGCCCCUUGAACACGACACACAGAAGACAUGAGGAAAGAUUAAGAACCACAAAGUGAAAGAAAUGUUAAUAAAUAUUUAUCUAGAUAAACGGUGAAUGUUUCAGUAACAGAAGAGAACUGUAGCUGUGGAAAUAACGCAGAUUACUUGUUUAUUAACAAUGAUUAAAGUGGACCUUUAUGCUAGUGCUAAUUUAAGCUAAAGAUAUGGUGAUGCUAAACGAGAUACACCCUCACUGAGCGGAGAGGACUGCUCUGGGUUUUCUGAGGACUGUUUUUGGAUUAAUGAGAGGAUUUAAAUGCUGCUGCUGUCUGGUUUCAUCUGUUGGACCACCAACUGUUUGUCUACCUUGGAUGUUUACAAUAAAAUGAUAAUUAUCAGAA